ensembl:misc_RNA Metazoa_SRP Metazoan signal recognition particle RNA
GCCGGGCAUCGUGGUGCAUGCCUGCAGUCCUAGCUACUCGGGAGGCCGAGGCAGGAGGAUCACUUGAGCCCAGGAGUUCCAGGCUGCAGUGAGCUAUGAUUGCACCACUGCACUCUAACCUGGGUGACAGAGCGAGACCUUGUCUCUU